rnacentral:rRNA from 1 species
GAUGAACGCUGGCGGCGUGCCUAAUACAUGCAAGUCGAGCGAACAGAUGAGGAGCUUGCUCCUCUGACGUUAGCGGCGGACGGGUGAGUAACACGUGGAUAACCUACCUAUAAGACUGGGAUAACUUCGGGAAACCGGAGCUAAUACCGGAUAAUAUAUUGAACCGCAUGGUUCAAUAGUGAAAGACGGUUUUGCUGUCACUUAUAGAUGGAUCCGCGCCGCAUUAGCUAGUUGGUAAGGUAACGGCUUACCAAGGCAACGAUGCGUAGCCGACCUGAGAGGGUGAUCGGCCACACUGGAACUGAGACACGGUCCAGACUCCUACGGGAGGCAGCAGUAGGGAAUCUUCCGCAAUGGGCGAAAGCUUGACGGAGCAACGCCGCGUGAGUGAUGAAGGUCUUCGGAUCGCAAAACUCUGUUAUUAGGGAAGAACAAAUGUGUAAGUAACUAUGCACGUCUUGACGGUACCUAAUCAGAAAGCCACGGCUAACUACGUG